rnacentral:tRNA from 1 species
GGGGAUUUAGCUCAGCGGCAUAAGCACCUGCCUUGCAAGCAGGCAGUCCUGGGCAUAAGCGCCUGCCUUGCAAGCAGGCAGUCCUGAGUUCAAUCCCUG